rnacentral:misc_RNA from 1 species
CAGUGUUCGCUGCCCUCACGGGUAGCAAACCUCACCCUUGUGUAUUAUAUCUUUGUUGCUUUGGCACGCCGCCUUCGGGCACUGGCUUCGGCUGGCUCGCGCGCGCCAGAGGACCCCAACUCUGUGUUUAGUGUCGUCUGAGUACUAUAUAAUAAGUUA